GGCAGGGCAGGGCCUCCAGGGUGUCCCAGCUGAGCUGGGCAGAGCCGCCAGUGGGGGUCUGGAGCGGGAUCCCGUCACCAGCGGGGAGCUUGAGGCUAGGCUGGUGGCGGAGAAAGUCAAGAAAAACAACAGUUUCCAACUGAGGAGGAAGACUCAAACAGGAAACAUGCCCUGUCCUUGCCUGGCCUCAGAGGGUGGACAGGGACAGGGAGGAGCUGCCCUGGCUUGACCUGCCAGGUCUGGAUGAGGUCCCCCCAUUCCGCCGUCCCCUCUUUAUUAUAGCCCUUGGGGUCCCCCAGCUUAACAGACGAACUUGACCUUUUCUUAUUUAUUUAUUUAUUGGUACUGGGGAUCGAACUCAGGACCUUGCGCUUCAAGCAGGCAGCAGCACCACUGAGCUAAAUCCCCGGCCCUGUUUUAUAGUUUUUUGAGACAAGGUCUCACUUUGUAGUCCAGGCUGGCCUUGACCUCACUGUGUAGCCCAGGCUGGCCUUGAACUCGUGGUGAUCCUCCUGCCUCAGCCUCCCAAGUGCUGGGAUCACAGGCAUGGGCCACCGUGCCAGGCUUGUCUCGUUCUCGGGUCCCAUGUUUUCCUCUAUGGUGGUCUGCAGCUUCCUGCACAUGUCGGACAAUCUACUUGGUGGCUCUGUGUGUCUUGGCCUGUGGUGAUUGUGGUGAGACAUGGUUGGGACAUUUUCCUGCAAGAUGCCUCAUGCUGAAGCCUGGUCUCUGGUCAUGGCUGGGUUUGAUUCCUGGGCACAGGACCCUGCCUUCGUGUUCCAGAGCUGAUAGCUAGCUCUGUGUCAGUUCCCAGCCCCAGGAUGCUGUCACCACGUCCCCUGCCCUGGUUUGCUUGCUUAGGACUUGCCUGCAGAGCCAGGGAGGAUGCCCCGCCUUCCUCCUCCCACUGCCUCAUUCUUCCAGAUGCUCUCAGAAUUUCCUGCGCAUGUGGGCAAGGGGCUGCCUGAGGCCCUGAGUUGCUAACAAGCCCCUGCUGACCUGGCACUGCUGGCCUGAAUCCCACACUUCGGCACAGCGAGUGGCCUCAGGACAGGGCUUGAGCCCAGGGGGAGAAAGGGCCGGGUCUAGGCCUCGGACUCGGUCUGCUGUGUGUUCUUCGCAGGGCGGGUGUUUCCUGAUGUCUCACUGGGGACCCAGCUGCUUUGUGGGCAGGAGCGGUUUGUCCACCCAGCCCCCUCAGUGGCCCCAGCUCGUGAGUCACUGUGCGGAGCCCAUGCUCAUCGUGUGACCUGAAGCCUGGUGGCCUCAGACCUGGGGACAGCUAGGGCACCGCCAUGCCUGGGUCACCCCAGCACCUGUUCCCAGCCCCCUCCUGCUGGUCAGGCCCUGUUGGAGUGCUGGGGAGACCCAGCAUGCAGCUGAAGCACCCUGUGUUCAGUGUCUGCCAGCCCUCCGGGGUCACACUGUGGAAGGAGGGAUGGGACGUGCCGGGACCACUGUCUAAGGCCACACUCAGGUCUGAGGUCCCUGUGGGCCGUCCGUGUGUGUUGUGGCGUGAGCAGCCAGAUUCAGACCCUCAGCCAGCACUCCGGGCCCAGGGCAGGUGGGUGAUGUGUGGACGGGUGACGGGAGACAUCGAGGGGUUUCUGGGUUUCCUGACUGUGGGGACGUUUGUCAAGGCUCCUGCCACGUCCAUGCCUGUGACAGGGCUCAGGGCUUUGUGAUGUUUUUGGCCACUGGGUCAUCUGGCUGUGCAGUGAGCCGUAGCGCAGAUGAACAGUUCCCCAUGGGGCUCCACUGACCCACAGUGGGGCUGAGGUCAGGUGUGAUCUGCCCACGGAAAGGCCAGUGUGUGCGUGCGUGCAUGCGUGUGUGUGUGUUUGCACGCACAUCGGGGGAGACAGGAUACAUAGAUGUAGACAUUUAAUUUCUGCUAACAUAGCCACAGGCCCUGUCAAGGGACUAUCACAUCCAUCCCAAAAUGAGCAAUAAGAGGGAUUGUUUUCUGAGUGAAGUGCCUGGGGCAAAGUCAUUUAAUUAAAAAAUGCUGCAAUUUAAGAUGCAGGCAGGAGGCUGAGGGGGAUUUCCAGCUGAGGUGGGGACCCUGCCAUCAGCCCCCAGGCUGAUAGAGAUGGUGCCGGGAUUCACAGGCUCACCUCCGUGUGGGUCCCAGAGCCCUGGGUCUGAUGGCCAUGAGUGGGGAGCAGGGACAGGGAGGGAGCCAGACAGAGGCCUGUGCAGCGAGGCAAUGUGCACAUCUAGCCACAGUCACAGAGACAGGAGAGGACGGCCGCGCCGACAAGAAAGAGAGCACAGGGGACCAGGGACACCACAAAGAACUGGGGCACAGGAUUGAAGGAAAGUUUUCCUUGCUGGGAUGAGGGAUCAGAAAAGGAUCCUGCUGCAUGAUGGAUCAGAAGAAGACCCUGAGGGGAAGGUUGCCGCCCGCCACCCGGCUUCACCUGCACACAUCCAGUGUCUCCACUGCACGCCUCCCUGCAGCCUGCCCAGGCCUGGCAGCGCCCACGGCUCCAGCUUCAGCUCUACUGGGAGUCAGCUGGAAGCGGGGUUCUACUGGAGAGAAAGUGAUCUGCAACACACGGAGUCAAGCUUCUGAAAAGUCCACCUGCAGAGGCGAUUCGGGCCUGU
rnacentral:lncRNA from 1 species